UCUGUGCCGACUCUUCCUCUAUGCUGCCUGUGUGGUUUGGGCAGGUAUUGUGUUACAACAAUAUGUUAAGUAACUCAUGCAUAGUAGAGAACAGAGAAAGGCUGAUAGGCUAUUUCAGACCCAAACACCUGGACCUAUGGACAAUGAGAUUCAUGGAUGUGCACAGAGAAGGAACUGCCACAGAGAGCCUUGCUCAGGGGAAAGGGGGCUGGAAGAAAAUCUGAGAAAUCUGACACAUGAGUUGACACUGGCCGUGCAAAUCUCAGGGAUCAGCAGGUAGGAAGAUUGGAGCGUCUUGCUGACUCACUCAGCUCAAGCGUGUGACGUGGGAUCUUGUUUUAUUUGACCUGGAAUACGCUAGGGUUGCACAACACAUGAGACUGUAGGAGAUUUGGUUGAAACUGGCCCAUGGAGUUCAACUACCUGAGAAACCUCCUUGAGCAAGACAGCCUAGGCAUGCUGCCCAAACCACAGGCUGUUGGCAACUUGGCCAAGAGUGACUCGUCAGAGCUGUUGACCUCCACAGUGCCGACGAAUACAAUGAGCUGCAGAAGAGAUUGGAUUUGAAAUUUCUCCUUGCUCUCACGCUGCGGAGAGGAGAGAAGUAGAGGAGCGAGACAGAUCAUAUAAUUGGGUGAGGCUUCCCACAGAGUCGCAGCCGACAAUACAUUGCCCUGUGCUUGAUUUUCAGAGUUAAAAAUUUACCUUAGUUAAAUAAGCAGACAUACUGAAAAGCAUGUAUUCCACCUAGAUUUAGGCUCCCCUCAGAUGUCUUUCAG